AGGAGCCUAUGGAGCGAAAGUUUCACGUCCGGUUCUGGAGACGAGUGGUUCUAGCGAGGGAAUCACUUAGCUUAAC
rnacentral:misc_RNA from 2 species